UGCAGCACCAUGACGAUGCAGGACCAGGUAAUAACUAUUAUCUUGCUUUAUUAGGUUGUGUGAGGCAUUAAUGUUGAGAUAGUUACUGACGAAAAGAUAUAUUGAAAUAGUGUUGGGUAUUGUGAUAAGCCUCUCUCUCUUGAUAUUUUAGUUAAAUAAGCCUCUCUCUCUUGAUAUUUUAGUUAAACUCUCAAAUUAUUGUUGGCUUGUUAUUGUGAUGUGCUUUGUUUGGAAAAAGUAGAGGGCAGACGGGCUUGGAAAUAUCAUUAUACGUAAGAAGGCUCUGACAUUUUAUUGACGACAAUGCUAACUUUUGUUCAAGCUGCACGAUGGUGGCAUUGAAGUAACGACUUGAAACUUAUUCAAAUUUGUAUCUUUUUACGGAUAAUUUUUUGCAGCAGAAAACAGAUAGACUUUAAACGGCAAUGACACUUUGUUGAUUGUUUCAUUUUAUUUAGUCAAAUUUUAUCAAAUUUUAUUUAUAUUCCUUGAGUAGACUCUCAUCGUUGUUCAUCCUCUAAAUCGUUUGCUCUAUAAUUCUGAUUUCAAUCGACAUACAUAUAUAUGUAGGAAAGUGUGAUCUUAACAACUGCCAUCUUGGUGAGCUAGUGUUUUUGGGUUUUGGGAUACUCUUUAUCUUUGCAGUUUUUAAGUGUUUUGUUUAUAUUGGAACUCUCGUCCUUAUUUUGUGGAUUUGUAGUCCUCCUAAUCCUUGUAUAUAUUUCUUAUAGUUUUAUUUAAUCUCUUGUUUCUUAGCAAAAAAACAACUGGCAUCAAACAAUUCUUAGUGAUAGAAAAUACUCAUUUAGCUUAUUUUUUGAAUUUCAUACAUGCAGG
rnacentral:lncRNA from 1 species